rnacentral:rRNA from 1 species
GUAGGUGGCAAGCGUUGUCCGGGAAUUAUUGGGGCGUAAAGCGCGCGCAGGCGGUUCGUUUAAGUCUGAUGUGAAAGCCCACGGGCUCAACCGUGGAGGGUCAUUGGAAACUGGAGAACUUGAGAACAGAAGAGGAAAGCGGAAUUCCACGUGUAGCGGUGAAAUGCGUAGAGAUGUGGAGGAACACCAGUGGCGAAGGCGGCUUUCUGGUCUGUAACUGACGCUGAGGCGCGAAAGCGUGGGGAGCAAACAGGAUUAGAUACCCUGGUAGUCCACGCCGUAAACGAUGAGUGCUAAGUGUUAGGGGGGUUUCCGCCCCUUAGUGCUGCAGCUAACGCAUUAAGCACUCCGCCUGGGGAGUACGGCCGCAAAGGCUGA